ACGUCAUGAUGUGGACAUUUCCUUAGCAAGUUGUUCAAAUGCUCCCACGCUUCAUGUAAGGGUUCUCCAUCCCCUUGAGAAAACUCACAAAUGGAAGUUCACAUGGAAUU